UCAGAAUACAAGUGAGGAUUUAUAGGACGGCCUGUUCGUACCUGCUCAUGGUCUUCAUUGAAGAUGCCAUCGAGUAUAAGGAUCUCCAGCUGGCCCAAGUGGACCUGGUCUUCCUGGACGACCUGGAUCGCCCUGAGAAGAAAGUACCUUUUCUCCCAGAGCCCCUGCAAGACCAGGUUCUCCAACAUCUCCAGGAUAGCCAUCAGGACCCUGUAAAAGGCAC